rnacentral:ncRNA from 1 species
GGAGGAACCUCUGGAGAGAAUCGCACUACUUUUGUAGAUAGCGGUCGCCGAAGGAGCAAGCUCAUUUCUAAUGAUGAGUGAAACUCUCAGGCAAAAGGACAGAGGAGAGAAU